UACGAAGGGGGCUAGCGUUGCUCGGAAUCACUGGGCGUAAAGCGCACGUAGGCGGAUUGCUAAGUCAGGGGUGAAAUCCUGGAGCUCAACUCCAGAACUGCCUUUGAUACUGAAGAUCUUGAGUUCGGGAGAGGUGAGUGGAACUGCGAGUGUAGAGGUGAAAUCGUAGAUAUUCGCAAGAACACCAGUGGCGAAGGCGGCUCACUGGCCCGAUACUG
rnacentral:rRNA from 1 species